rnacentral:rRNA from 1 species
GAUGAACGCUGGCGGCGUGCCUAAUACAUGCCAGUCGAGCGAACAGACGAGGAGCUUGCUCCUCUGACGUUAGCGGCGGACGGGUGGGUAACACGUGGAUAACCUACCUAUAAGACUGGGAUAACUUCGGGAAACCGGAGCUAAUACCGGAUAAUAUAUUGAACCGCAUGGUUCAAUAGUGAAAGACGGUUUUGCUGUCACUUAUAGAUGGAUCCGCGCCGCAUUAGCUAGUUGGUAAGGUAACGGCUUACCAAGGCAACGAUGCGUAGCCGACCUGAGAGGGUGAUCGGCCACACUGGAACUGAGACACGGUCCAGACUCCUACGGGAGGCAGCAGUAGGGAAUCUUCCGCAAUGGGCGAAAGCCUGACGGAGCAACGCCGCGUGAGUGAUGAAGGUCUUCGGAUCGUAAAACUCUGUUAUUAGGGAAGAACAAAUGUGUAAGUAACUAUGCACGUCUUGACGGUACCUAAUCAGAAAGCCACGGCUAACUACGUG